UCCAGGAUAUGGAUUCCUGAGGUUACUUCAUUCGCUUUGUGCUCUCUCGCGUUCUUGAUUCAUUCGCUUUUGUGUUCCCCCUAAACCUUUACGUUCUUGAUUCAUUCCCUUGUGGAUUGGAAGGUGAGCAGAGUAGGCGUCACCUGCUUCGCCGUGCCUCUGAUCCCGUGAUUCGCGUGCCCCCGCCCGCGUGAUCCAUCUUCGCCCGAUGCCCGCAGGUGUGAUUUAGUUGUGGUGGCGAAUGGAUGGAAGGAGAAGAUAGCUUCUGGUUUGACAAUAUGUGUGGUGAUUCGAAUCCCUGUCUUUCACAUGUUUUUUUCGUUUUGUCAGUACACCAGAGGUCCUGCAGCGGGUCACAACCACUGAGAUAUUGCAGGGCAAUGACAGUCUUGGGUUGAAAUAUGUGGAAGAUUAUAAUGGGAAAUUGGUGGACUGCAUGGAAGGUGAAACACUGACAUGCAGUUCUUUAUUUCACCAUGAGUCAUAGAACAAACAACAUAUGUGCCAUCUGUGGAGUCUUUGUUUUAUCACCUAAGCAACGAGCAAUGUUUAUUUGUUACCAAAAAAGCACUUUAUGUAUCUUCAUG